GAGAUUAGGGGAAAACAGAGUGAGAGAGGGAGUGAUAUUAUGGGAAAACAGACGGAGAGAGGGAGUGAGAUUAGGGGAAAACAGAGGGAGAGAGGGAGUGAGAUUAGGGAAAAACAGAGGGAGAGUGGGAGUGAGAUUAGGGGUAAACAGAGGGAGAGAGGGAGUGAGAUAAAGGGAAAACAGAGGGAGAGAGGGAGUGAGAUUAGGGGAAAACAGAGGGAGAGAGGGAAUGAGAUUAGGGGAAAACAGAGGGAGAGAGGGAGUGAUA
ensembl:lncRNA